UACGUAGGGUGCAGGCGUUAAUCGGAAUUACUGGGCGUAAAGCGUGCGCAGGCGGUUUGCUGAGACAGGUGUGAAAUCCCCGGGCUUAACCUGGGAACUGCGCUUGUAACUGGCAAGCUUGAGUGUGGCAGAGGGGGGUGGAAUUCCACGUGUAGCAGUGAAAUGCGUAGAGAUGUGGAGGAACACCGAUGGCGAAGGCAGCCCCUGGGCUAACACUGACGCUCAUGCACGAAAGCGUGGGGAGCAAACAGG
rnacentral:rRNA from 1 species